rnacentral:lncRNA from 1 species
ACUUUCUUCAUACCAAGCCAUCCAAACUUAUAUAAAUUUUUUCUUUUAACUGCUUUAGCAUGGUUUCUUGAGAGGAUUUAUCUUUAAGAUAAAUUCUUCAUUUUGAAUGCUUAAAAAAUCCUACAUCCAAUCUUGAAAUACAUGAUUAGAAUCAUAAUUACACAAAGUUUGGCAAUCAUCAAAAUCAAUCAUGGGAUCAACA